rnacentral:rRNA from 1 species
GGACGAACGCUGGCGGCGUGCUUAACACAUGCAAGUCGAACGAUCUCCAACCAGUCGCAAGACUGGGGAAGAGAUAGUGGCGAACGGGUGAGUAACACGUGAGCAACCUGCCUCGAAGACUGGGAUAACAGCGGGAAACCGCUGCUAAUACCGGAUACCCCCAUUGGAUCGCAUGGUUCGAUGAGGAAAUGAAUUUUGCUUCGAGAGGGGCUCGCGGGCUAUCAGCUUGUUGGUGGGGUAACGGCCCACCAAGGCGACGACGGCUAGCUGGUCUGAGAGGACGACCCCGCACAUUGGAACUGAGACACGGUCCAGACUCCUACGGGAGGCAGC